GGAAUGUGGCUCAGUGGUAGAGCGCUUGCUUACCACGCAUGAGGCAUUGGGUUCAAUCCCAGUACCA
rnacentral:tRNA from 1 species